GUGCCUAAAGUCGAAAUGGUCGAGACACCAGCCUGUGAAGCUGGGCAUUAACGGGUUUCUCCAUUCAGAGACGCUUCGAGAACGAGUCCCGUUAGGCACC
rnacentral:tRNA from 1 species